UACGGGGGGGGCAAGCGUUGUCCGGAUUUAUUGGGUUUAAAGGGUGCGUAGGCGGUCUAUUAAGUCAGUGGUGAAAUACUCCAGCUUAACUGGAGGGGUGCCAUUGAUACUGAUGGACUUGAGUGAAGUCGAGGUAGGCGGAAUUGACGGUGUAGCGGUGAAAUGCUUAGAUAUCGUCAAGAACACCAAUUGCGAAGGCAGCUCGCUGGGACGUUACUGACGCUGAGACGCGAAAGCGUGGGGAGCAAACAGG
rnacentral:rRNA from 1 species